rnacentral:rRNA from 1 species
AUUGAACGCUGGCGGCAGGCCUAACACAUGCAAGUCGAGCGAGCGGCGGACGGGUGAGGAAUGUAUGGGGACUGCCCGAUAGAGGGGGAUAACUACUGGAAACGGUAGCUAAUACCGCAUACUAUCGGAUAACCCAUAUGGGAUUAGCUAGUGGGUGAGGUAAUGGCUCACCUAGUCGACGAUCCCUAGCGGGUCUGAGAGGAUGAUCAGCCACACAGGGACUGAGACACGGCCCAGACGCCUACGGAGGCAGCAGUGGGGAAUCUUGGACAAUGGGCGCAAGCCUGAUGCAGCAAUGCCGCGUGUAUGAAGAAGGCUCUAGGGUUGUAAAGUACUUUCAGUCGGGAGGCGUUACCGACAGAAGAAGCAACGGCUAACUCCGUGCCAGCAGCCGCGGUAAUAC